UAGAGUUUGAUCAUGGCUCAGAGCGAACGCUGGCGGCAGGCUUAACACAUGCAAGUCGAACGGAUCCUUCGGGAUUAGUGGCGGACGGGUGAGUAACACGUGGGAACGUGCCUUUUGGUUCGGAACAACACAGGGAAACUUGUGCUAAUACCGAAUGUGCCCUUCGGGGGAAAGAUUUAUCGCCAUUAGAGCGGCCCGCGUCUGAUUAGCUAGUUGGUGAGGUAAAGGCUCACCAAGGCUACGAUCAGUAGCUGGUCUGAGAGGAUGAUCAGCCACACUGGAACUGAGACACGGUCCAGACUCCUACGGGAGGCAGCAGUGGGGAAUAUUGGACAAUGGGCGCAAGCCUGAUCCAGCCAUGCCGCGUGGGUGAAGAAGGCCUUCGGGUUGUAAAGCCCUUUUGUCCGGGAAGAAAUUGUACGGGUGAAUAUCCCGUGCCGAUGACGGUACCGGAAGAAUAAGCACCGGCUAACUUCGUGCCAGCAGCCGCGGUAAU
rnacentral:rRNA from 1 species